rnacentral:misc_RNA from 1 species
GGAUACAGGUGUGGGAAUACCCCUUGAUGCCCAAAGCCGUAUUUUCACUCCUUUUAUGCAGGCUGACAGUUCCACUUCACGAACCUAUGGUGGGACUGGGAUAGGCUUGAGCAUCAGCAAAUGUCUUGUGGAUCUCAUGGGUGGUGAGAUCGGGUUUGUUAGUGAACCUGGCACUGGCAGUACCUUCUCAUUCACUGCUUCUUUCAGAAAAGGAGAAUUGAGUUCUCUUGAUACAAAGUGGCAACCUCAUGAUCCUACUGUUAUGGAGUUCCAAGGAUGGAGAGCAUUGGUAGUUGAUAAAAGAAGAAUCCGAGCUGAGGUUACUAGGUAUCAUCUUCAGAGGUUGGGAAUAUCUGUGGAUAUAGCUUCUAGCCCAAAGUCUGCAUGUUCUUAUAUAUUGGGAGGUUGCUACACAAGUGUUCCAGCAGAUUUUGCUAUGGUUCUUAUCGACAAAGAUGUUUGGCAUGACGAAACUGGUAUUGCUUUCAAUCAUUUGUUGAAAGAAUCCAAGCAAAAUGGUGGGAAAGAAAUCGAAGUAAACCUUCCUAAGAUUUUUCUCUUGGCUACCACUGUCAGUCCUGAUGAACGCUGUGAACUCUUAUCGGCUGGUUUAGUAGAUAAUGUAAUUAUGAAGCCUCUUCGAUUAAGUGUCUUAAUUGCUUGCUUUCAAGAAGCCAUUGGAAGUGGUAAGAAGAGUCAAGCAAAGAGAAAGAAACCAUCAGCUCUUCAGAAUCUACUAAGAGGAAAGAGAAUUUUGGUGGUAGAUGACAAUAAAGUGAACAGAAGGGUGGCAGAAGGAGCUCUAAAGAAAUAUGGAGCAAUUGUUACCUGUGUGGAGAGUGGCAAGGAUGCCUUGGAACUGCUAAAACCACCACACACAUUUGAUGCUUGUUUCAUGGAUCGCCAUAUGCCAGAGAUGGAUGGGUAAUCUUUUUGUCCUUAAAAAGCUAAUGCAUUUGAAUCUUAUCCUCUCUUUGGUGAUGCUUCCUUCAACAUAUGCCUAUAGCAAGAAUUAUAAAUUGAUUCUCCCUCUAAUGAUGCAGCUUUGAAGCUACCAGGCAAAUUAGGUCAAGGGAAAGGCAAUUUAAUGAGCAAAUUGCAUCUAGGGAAGCAUUGGCAGAGAUGUUUGGAAAUGUGGCUUAUUGGCACACUCCAAUAUUGGCAAUGACAGCUGAUGUGAUUCAGGCAACGAAUGAAGAAUGCAUUAAGUGUGGGAUGGAUGAUUAUGUUUCAAAGCCAUUUGAAGAAGAGCAGCUUUACAAUGCAGUGGCUCGCUUUUUUGAGUCUGAUUGAUAAGAGUGGAUUUAGAUGUCAGUUAUUGCUCAUUUGACCUUCAGCCGGCUGGCUGAUCUGUGCUGAAUUUGCAUUGACCCCAAAGCAUUUGGUUAGCCGACUAACGAUGGAUAGAAUGAUCCCCAACACUUUCUUAUCAUCUUUCCAGCCAUGGAAUCUGAGACUGAAGGUGACUAGAUUCAAGUAUGCAUGAUCUGGGAAGUGCAAGCAAAUGCUUGUGGCCAGUUUGUUGUCACUGGUUGCUUACCAUAUGAGAAAUUGAAGAAGACAAUGACUAACAUGAGUAGGCAGAUGGUAAAAAUGCUAGCAGUGAUCCUUUUUUGAAUGCUGAUGAGACAAUCAAUUCAACUUUUGAUCUUCUGCUAACUUAUGCAUGAAAGAUGAAAGAAGGAAUGAUUUUAGCACUGCCAAUAGCGGUUGCGACAGUAUAAUAAUUAUCCUCUUAUUUUCUCUUCCUGAGGAAGAUCAAAAUAAAACAAGGGGGUUGAUGCACACACAAUGCUGCACACCCAUUUAUGCAAACAAAAAGAUGUACCAGUAGCUUUUCUUAGUUGAAAAAUGUAAAUUGAGAUUGAUGGUUCCGAAGAGAAAGAACUGUUGUAUGUCACUGUUCGUCAAUUUGUUAUGAAGGUGCAAUUUGUUGUAAAUAAAUUUUUCUUCAAUGUAUAUAAACAUUAACAUUUUUGAUAAACAGAACAAAAAGUUGAGACAGGAUCUAUUGAUACUGUACUCACUAUGCUUUUUUAACUGGAGUUUGAUUGAUAUUGCU